rnacentral:rRNA from 1 species
UACGUAGGGUGCAAGCGUUGUCCGGAAUCAUUGGGCGUAAAGCGCGCGUAGGUGGCUCUAUAAGUCCGUUGUGAAAGUCAAAGGCUCAACCUUUGAAAGCCGAUGGAUACUGUAGAGCUAGAGUCCGGAAGAGGCGAGUGGAAUUCCUGGUGUAGCGGUGAAAUGCGCAGAUAUCAGGAAGAACACCGGUGGCGAAGGCGGGUCUCUGGGCAACAACUGACGCUGAGGAGCGAAAGCGUGGGGAGCGAACAGG